rnacentral:rRNA from 1 species
GACGAACGCUGGCGGCGUGCCUAAUACAUGCCAGUAGAACGCUGAAGGAGGAGCUUGCUUCUCUGGAUGAGUUGCGAACGGGUGAGUAACGCGUAGGUAACCUGCCUGGUAGCGGGGGAUAACUAUUGGAAACGAUAGCUAAUACCGCAUAAGAGUAGAUGUUGCAUGACAUUUGCUUAAAAGGUGCAAUUGCAUCACUACCAGAUGGACCUGCGUUGUAUUAGCUAGUUGGUGGGGUAACGGCUCACCAAGGCGACGAUACAUGGCCGACCUGAGAGGGGGAUCGGCCACACUGGGACUGAGACACGGCCCAGACUCCUACGGGAGGCAGCAGUAGGGAAUCUUCGGCAAUGGACGGAAGUCUGACCGAGCAACGCCGCGGGAGUGAAGAAGGGUUUCGGAUCGUAAAGCUCUGUUGUAAGAGAAGAACGAGUGUGAGAGUGGAAAGUUCACACUGUGACGGUAUCUUACCAGAAAGGGACGGCUAACUACGUG